UUAAUAAAUACGUAUUAGUUCAUUGUAUGAAUGGAUUUUAACCUGCUUAAGUAUUACACCAAUUUUGGAUAUUUAUACUUUUAAUAUAUUUGCUGUGGUAAUAUACUGUGAUGAACACCACGAUCUUCAUUUUUUAUCAUUUCCUAGGGAUUAAUUUCUGAAUCAAAAGAUAUGAACAUUUUCAGAUUCUUGAAACUCUUGGACUCAAGGACAACAGGCAGAGUGUAUGGCAGAGCUGGGGCCUCGGAGCGUCUUCAGUGCCUCCACUCCUCCCUUGUGCGUGGCCCUCUAAACUGCAGGUGGUAGCUUCCUUUGCUGGAGGCGGUGCCUGGACAUCGGUGUCCCUUGCUCGGGACAGCCUUGCUGUCCAGGAAGGAAGAGUGAAGAGCACUAGGCGGCGAAAGAGCGCAGCUCGGGCAGCCGGACUGGAGGCGCUCGACGGCUUGCCGCGGACGCUGGGGACCCUGCUGAGUGCUCCGACGAGUUGAAGAGGCGAGGGGCCCCAGAGGCGGAAGAGGGGCACUCUGGACUCGGCCAGCUCCGACUGGGGUGGCGGUCAACCAAAGGUCCACCUGACCCGCGUCCUAGGGCGCCAGGGUGGCCGCGCCGCCUGCCAAGGGGCUUCAAGAUCCGCGCGGCUUAGCCUGAGGGCGAAAGAGAGGGCGAGCCUUCACUGAUCCCGCCGCCCUCUCAGUCCCAGGUUUUUACUCUACCGUAGCGUCUUCCUUCAGCUCUUUCCCUUCACCUCUCGGUUUUCCGGCGGCCGCCGGAGCGGUGCCUGAAGCAGGCAGCGCCACAAAAGCCGGGGUUGAGACCUCGCCGUCUUCUGUGCAUGUUACCUGUUCUGCGCCUUCGCAGCGAUUCUCAAGUGGGCAUGUUUCAGGUGGUCAGGUCCAGCAUCCCCAAAGCUGCCUCCCGGAACCUGGAGGACCUGGACUCUGUGCAGCGCGUCCUCUUUCACAGGUUAAGAGAGGAUGGUUGAACUGCCAGGCAGCUAAUGCUGCUCUAACUCUGGGGAAGCCUGGCCUUUACAAGACAUAAUAUGGGAAAAACUCUUUUAGAAAUGAAUCAAAAGUAUCUCUUGAAUACAUUUGUGGUGAAAAAGAGUAAGUGGUGCUUAGUAAAUAUCUGUCAGGGGGAGGCUUAUGUGAGUUCUCUCAUCUGUAAACGUUUCAAGUGACCCUUUUAAGUCUUUGUACAAAACCAUAUGAGCUGUAGAAACCCUGUUCUGUUGGAAGAGUGAGUAAAAAUGAAAGACAUUGUGCAAGGAAGAAAUAGGUCUCUUUGGUUUAAAAGCUGUCUUCUGAAACCAGCAAUUUUCCACAGUUGGUUUCCUUUCCCUCUCCCCCCAAGAGAGCCCCUGCCAUAUACAAUAAAGUGUUAUCAAAUGAAUGGAUAAAAGGGGAUUCUGAUAAAUUCCCAAAGACUGUUCUCCCUGCAUUUGAUAAAAAUUACAGUCCAGGAAUAAUCCCCGCAGAUAUUAACUGAAACUUAUUCACAGCAUGACUUUGUUUUUGUUUGGUUGGUUGGUUUUGUGCUUUUUAGGGCCACUCCCACUGCAUAUGGAUGUUCCCAGGCUAGGGAUCUAGUCGGAGCUACAGCUGCUGGCCUACACCACAGUAAUGCCGGACCCUUAGCCCACUGAGUGAGGCCAGGGAUCAACCCGAAACUUCAUCACUCCUAGUCAGAUUCAUUUCCACUUCGCCACGACGGGAACUCCCACAGCAUGACUUUGAUAAAGCUGGUGGGGGUGUUUGUUUUAAUGCUUAAAAAUCCUGAUGCAACAGAAUUUCUUCAUGUUUUAAAUGUCAGAUGCCAAAAAAUUCCAAACUAAUUAAUACUGCAGGGGUUCAGAUCCAAAGCACAAACCUGUCUGAAUGAACCAGGGCAAAAGAAAAUGUUUAAACUAUAGCCAUCAAUCAAGACUGAGAUGAUUAUUUUAGAAGUAGUACUGGGGUGUUUCUGCAAUAAACCUGCUCAGUAUAUGAAAAGCUGCUUUAUCUGAAUUACAAAUAACUGCUCCCACAUGCUAUAGGAACCAAUGGAAUCUGAAACUGUAAGUGUCUUUGUCAGUAUGUUG
rnacentral:lncRNA from 9 species